rnacentral:lncRNA from 1 species
GUAAGAUAUAACAGUGGUGGCAAUAAAAAAACAAAUGACAAGAAAGAACAAAAUCAUUUAUACACACCUUACCCUACUAAAGGACAAUGUGUUUACAAAACAGUACUAAAAAUGAACAUCAACCAAACUACAUACCGGUUCGCUUAUCAAACAACAAAUAGGGAUGAUUAAUGUAUGCUUUAUAUUCUUGCUGGUAAAGUCAGUAUCAAUAACGCCAUUAUACUAAAUAUAUCACCAGUUUUGAGUUUGAAACUACCAUUUCUGUUCUUAUCGUUCAUUGUUGUUUAACAAUUAUAUAAU